GACGAACGCUGGCGGCGUGCUUAACACAUGCAAGUCGAACGGAAAGGCCCUGCUUUUGUGGGGUGCUCGAGUGGCGAACGGGUGAGUAACACGUGAGUAACCUGCCCUUGACUUUGGGAUAACUUCAGGAAACUGGGGCUAAUACCGGAUAGGAGCUCCUGCUGCAUGGUGGGGGUUGGAAAGUUUCGGCGGUUGUGGAUGGACUCGCGGCUUAUCAGCUUGUUGGUGGGGUAGUGGCUUACCAAGGCUUUGACGGGUAGCCGGCCUGAGAGGGUGACCGGCCACAUUGGGACUGAGAUACGGCCCAGACUCCUACGGGAGGCAGCAGUCGGGAAUAUUGCGCAAUGGGCGGAAGCCUGAUGCAGCAACGCCGCGUGCGGGAUGACGGCCUUCGGGUUGUAAACCGCUUUCGCCUGUGACGAAGCGUGAGUGACGGUAAUGGGUAAAGAAGCACCGGCUAACUACGUG
rnacentral:rRNA from 1 species